rnacentral:rRNA from 1 species
CGCGGCCUAUCAGCUUGUUGGUGAGGUAACGGCCCACCAAGGCGACGACGGGUAGCCGGCCUGAGAGGGUGACCGGCCACACUGGGACUGAGACACGGCCCAGACUCCUACGGGAGGCAGCAGUGGGGAAUAUUGCACAAUGGGCGAAGGCCUGAUGCAGCAACGCCGCGUGCGGGAAGAAGGCCCUAGGGUUGUAAACCGCUUUCAGCAGGGAAGAAAAUGACGGUACCUGCAGAAGAAGGUGCGGCCAACUACGUGCCAGCAGCCGCGGUGACACGUAGGCACCAAGCGUUGUCCGGAUUUAUUGGGCGUAAAGAGCUCGUAGGCGGUUCUGUAAGUCGGAUGUGAAAACUCAGGGCUCAACCCUGAGACGCCAUCUGAUACUGCAGUGACUAGAGUCCGGUAGAGGAAGAUGGAAUUCCUGGUGUAGCGGUGGAAUGCGCAGAUAUCAGGAGGAACACCAAUGGCGAAGGCAGUCUUCUGGGCCGGUACUGACGCUGAGGAGCGAAAGCAUGGGGAGCAAACAGGAUUAGAUACCCUGGUAGUCCACGCCGUAAACGUUGGGCACUAGGUGUGGGUCCCAUCCAACGGGAUCCGCGCCGCAGCUAACGCAUUAAGUGCCCCGCCUGGGGAGUACGG